UCCCGGAUCGUCUAAAGGCAGGACAACGGUUUUUGGUACCGUUUAUCGGGGUUCGAAUCCCUGUCCGGGAA
rnacentral:tRNA from 1 species